AAUCAACGCUGGCGGCGUGCCUCAGACAUGCAAGUCGAACGAUUAAAGCUCUCUUCGGAGAGUGUAUAGAGUGGCGCACGGGUGAGUAACACGUAAGUAAUCUACCCUCGAGUGGGGAAUAACAACCGGAAACGGUUGCUAAUACCGCAUAAUGCAGCGGCACCGCAAGGUGACAGUUGUUAAAGAUUUAUCGCUUGAGGAGGAGCUUGCGGCAGAUUAGCUAGUUGGUAGGGUAACGGCUUACCAAGGCUACGAUCUGUAACCGGUCUAAGAGGACGGUCGGUCACACUGACACUGAAUAACGGGUCAGACUCCUACGGGAGGCAGCAGUCGGGAAUUUUGGGCAAUGGGCGAAAGCCUGACCCAGCAACGCCGCGUGAAGGAUGAAGUAUUUCGGUAUGUAAACUUCGAAAGAAUGGGAAGAAUUAAUGACGGUACUAUUUAUAAGGUCCGGCUAACUACGUG
rnacentral:rRNA from 1 species